UGACUGUUACUGCUUCCUCCCAUGACAUCACUGUUUUUUGCAGCCACGCCACUCAGAAGGAUGCUCUCCAAAUCUGGGAGGCUAGUCUAAACGGUGUUGCACUGCAGGUGACAGUGACUCAGCUGUAUAUGAAGAAAGGGACUACAAAUAUGGUGAAUGCUGGGGAAAUGAACAGUUCUGGCAACCUGAUGGAUUUCUUGGAUGAGCCCUUUGCUGGUGUUGGGACAUAGGAGGACUUCCACACCAUCGACUGGCUCAGGGAGAAAUCCUGUGACACAGACAGACAGAGGAAGGCACUUUGGCGGAAGUUAUAGAUUUAGCUGUGGACUGGAUGACGGACCUGAAAGAAGGCGUCUGCUUCUCAGCCUUCUGGUACAGUCACGAGCAAUGCUGCUGGACAUCCAAUGAGACCACUUUUGACGACAGGGACAAAUGUCCCCAGUGGCAGAACUGGCCAGAGCUUUUGGUGAAUCAGUUGGAGGUCAGUUACUACUUCCCCUGAAGACCCUCUGGACGUCAUUUUCACCUUCCUGGUAGUCACCUUUACACUAAGAUCCAUCAAUCCCUUUGGGAACAGCCGCCUGGCCCUCUUCUUCGUGGAGUACCACACCCCCGAGCCAUCCGCGGGAAGACUGAAGGCUGGAGACCCGGUUCCAACCUCCCUGCAGCCUCCGUGCCAUGGACAACCACAAACGAGGGGCGGCGAUUCCAUCCAGAGACGGCAACACUCCCGCCGAACAGCUCUCUCUCACACUGCUUUCCAGACCCGGGCAGGUGAUGGGGCCUGUUCGCUUGAGCCCGCCGGCUCACUGCUGCUGCCCUCACUGCCACCCUGCUUCUAGCGUCUUCCUGCUUCAAACCAUUCUGGGGGCGGCGAUUCCAUCCAGAGACGGCGAUUCCAUCCAGAGACGGCAACACUCCCGCCGAACAGCUCUGUCUCACACUGCUUUCCAGACCCGGGCAGGUGAUGGGGCCUGUUGGCUUGAGCCCGCCGGCUCACUGCUGCUGCCUUCACUGCCACCCUGCCGCUAGCGUCUUCCUGCUUCAAACCAUUCUGGUUUCGCAGGACAUCCAGGCCAACUCAGUUUCAUACCUUCCUCCUCAAGUUCAGCAGGACCACAAAGGUAAAUCUUUUUUUUUUUUUUGAUGGCAUUUGUUAAGCGCUUACUAUGUG